CAUGGUUAAGUGGGAAACGAUGUGGGAAGGCCCAGACAGCCAGGAUGUUGGCUUAGAAGCAGCCAUCAUUUAAAGAAAGCGUAAUAGCUCACUGGUCGAGUCGGCCUGCGCGGAAGAUGUAACGGGGCUAAACCAUGCACCGAAGCUGCGGCAGCGACGCUUAUGCGUUGUUGGGUAGGGGAGCGUUCUGUAAGCCUGUGAAGGUGUGCUGUGAGGUAUGCUGGAGGUAUCAGAAGUGCGAAUGCUGACAUAAGUAACGAUAAAGCGGGUGAAAAGCCCGCUCGCCGGAAGACCAAGGGUUCCUGUCCAACGUUAAUCGGGGCAGGGUGAGUCGACCCCUAAGGCGAGGCCGAAAGGCGUAGUCGAUGGGAAACAGGUUAAUAUUCCUGUACUUGGUGUUACUGCGAAGGGGGGACGGAGAAGGCUAUGUUGGCCGGGCGACGGUUGUCCCGGUUUAAGCGUGUAGGCUGGUUUUCCAGGCAAAUCCGGAAAAUCAAGGCCGAGGCGUGAUGACGAGGCACUACGGUGCUGAAGCAACAAAUGCCCUGCUUCCAGGAAAAGCCUCUAAGCAUCAGGUAACAUCAAAUCGUACCCCAAACCGACACAGGUGGUCAGGUAGAGAAUACCAAGGCGCUUGAGAGAACUCGGGUGAAGGAACUAGGCAAAAUGGUGCCGUAACUUCGGGAGAAGGCACGCUGAUACGUAGGUGAAGCGACUUGCUCGUGGAGCUGAAAUCAGUCGAAGAUACCAGCUGGCUGCAACUGUUUAUUAAAAACACAGCACUGUGCAAACACGAAAGUGGACGUAUACGGUGUGACGCCUGCCCGGUGCCGGAAGGUUAAUUGAUGGGGUUAGCGCAAGCGAAGCUCUUGAUCGAAGCCCCGGUAAACGGCGGCCGUAACUAUAACGGUCCUAAGGUAGCGAAAUUCCUUGUCGGGUAAGUUCCGACCUGCACGAAUGGCGUAAUGAUGGCCAGGCUGUCUCCACCCGAGACUCAGUGAAAUUGAACUCGCUGUGAAGAUGCAGUGUACCCGCGGCAAGACGGAAAGACCCCGUGAACCUUUACUAUAGCUUGACACUGAACAUUGAGCCUUGAUGUGUAGGAUAGGUGGGAGGCUUUGAAGUGUGGACGCCAGUCUGCAUGGAGCCGACCUUGAAAUACCACCCUUUAAUGUUUGAUGUUCUAACGUGGACCCGUGAUCCGGGUUGCGGACAGUGUCUGGUGGGUAGUUUGACUGGGGCGGUCUCCUCCUAAAGAGUAACGGAGGAGCACGAAGGUUGGCUAAUCCUGGUCGGACAUCAGGAGGUUAGUGCAAUGGCAUAAGCCAGCUUGACUGCGAGCGUGACGGCGCGAGCAGGUGCGAAAGCAGGUCAUAGUGAUCCGGUGGUUCUGAAUGGAAGGGCCAUCGCUCAACGGAUAAAAGGUACUCCGGGGAUAACAGGCUGAUACCGCCCAAGAGUUCAUAUCGACGGCGGUGUUUGGCACCUCGAUGUCGGCUCAUCACAUCCUGGGGCUGAAGUAGGUCCCAAGGGUAUGGCUGUUCGCCAUUUAAAGUGGUACGCGAGCUGGGUUUAGAACGUCGUGAGACAGUUCGGUCCCUAUCUGCCGUGGGCGCUGGAGAACUGAGGGGGGCUGCUCCUAGUACGAGAGGACCGGAGUGGACGCAUCACUGGUGUUCGGGUUGUCAUGCCAAUGGCACUGCCCGGUAGCUAAAUGCGGAAGAGAUAAGUGCUGAAAGCAUCUAAGCACGAAACUUGCCCCGAGAUGAGUUCUCCCUGACCCUUUAAGGGUCCUGAAGGAACGUU
rnacentral:rRNA from 1 species